CCUUGAUAUCUUUUACUCGAGCUUCUUCUUUAUUUCUCACUCGAGAAAAAUCAAUGAAAUUCUCCACCAUCUCCAUCACUACCACCACCAUCUCCGUCGCCACCACAACCAACACCACCAACACCAGAAUCGUCUCCAUUGCCAUCAUCACUAUCUCAGUGAGUUAUCACUCUUUAAUUUCACAUCUAAAAAAAUAUAUAUCUCUCUUCUCUUUCUCUCCGGAAAUCUCCACCACCACCACCAUCUCCUCCGCCAACUGAUUCAAAUUUAAAUCGAAAAUUAUUAUCAGCAAUAGAUGGUUCAUAUUCAGAUAGACCUUCUUCUUCUUGUAAAGAUUAAUUUCAAAAUCAAAUUAAAAAAUAUUGAGAUCUGAUUUUAGGUUUUGAUUUCUGAUAAGUUAGUCUCUAUUUCAGCUGGAUCGGGAUUGAAGAACCUAAAAUCGAUGAUCACAGUUGGUUUUGGAAUUUAUUAAGUAUCUUCUUACUUUUGUUUUGAAGUUUUUGGUGGUGUUGGUGGUAUUGGUUAGAUUAAGAACGAAGGAAUUGAUGGAGAUUGGGUGGUUCUAGUUGCAAUGGUGAAAUUUGGCAAUUGAGACAGUGGUAGUUAAGAUUGUUUGUUGUUGUGGUGGUGGCGAUAUCUUCUGGAUGGGAAAGAAGAAGAGUAUACAAAUGAUGGUGGCGGAGCUUAUUGCCAAGGUACCAUAGUGAUCUACAAGAAGCGAUUUUUUGGGUGGCCCUGUAUCUCAAUUGCAGCAGCAAUGCUGGAGGCAAUGGAUGUCGUAGUGGAGAUGGUUUGUUGUGUUAGCAGUAGUGGUGAUGGUAGUGGAUGUUGCAGUUGUGGUGGGGUAGUUGCGGGAGACAAUAUGAACUUGUGUUGGAUGCGCGCAAACUACUAGCACGACUGACUCCAUGUCAGAUGAUGUGUGUUCGACUCACGCCAGGUUCACUUUUGUGUAUACUUUUCCUUGGUAGACAACUUGUCCUAGUUGCUUCCAUAUGUGGAGACAACUUGAACUAGUUGCCUCCAUAUUUGUAAACAACUUGAGCUUGUUACUUUCAAAUAUGGUAAGCAACUUGUUCUUACACACUAUCAAAUGGAGACAAUUUGAGAUAGUUGCCUCCAUUUUUGGAAACUACUUCAGCAAGUUGCCUCCAGAUUUGGAGACAACUUCAACAAGUUGCCUCCACAUGGUGGUGGUGGAAUUAGUGGUUGCUGGUGGUGAUUGGCGGCGGCGGUGAAUAAAAGUUGUGGUGGUUGGUGGCGACGGUGGGUAGUGGUGGUGGUUAUCGGUGGUGGUGGACAGUGGCGCUGGUUGUCGAUA